GAUUGAGUGUUCCGGUGAGUUAUUCGGACCGUCCCGUUUUUACGCGCCGCGUCUGGCAUGUGCGGAAUGGAAAGUUUUGUGAACCUUAAUACUUAGAGGAAGGAGAAGUCGUAACAAGGUUUCCCUAGGUGAACCCGCGGAA
rnacentral:rRNA from 1 species